AAAGCGUGCGCAGGCGGUUUUGUAAGUUUGUCGUGAAAUCCCCGGGCUCAACCUGGGAAUGGCGAUGAAGACUGCAAGGCUAGAAUCUGGCAGAGGGGGGUAGAAUUCCACGUGUAGCAGUGAAAUGCGUAGAGAUGUGGAGGAACACCGAUGGCGAAGGCAGCCCCCUGGGUCAAGAUUGACGCUCAUGCACGAAAGCGUGGGGAGCAAACAGGAUUAGAUACCCUGGU
rnacentral:rRNA from 1 species